rnacentral:rRNA from 1 species
GCUUACGGCCACACCGCCCUGGUUCACGCCAGAUCUCGUUUGAUCUCGGAAGCUAAGAUAGGUUGGGCCUGGUUAGUACUUGGAUGGGAGACCGCCUGGGAAUACCAGGUGCUGUAAGCU